rfam:Oryza barthii chromosome 2, whole genome shotgun sequence.
UUUAGGUGCUAUCAUCAGUUUCCGCAUCCAACCUUGAUCAUUCGUCUUAUUUAAUUUUUUUUUAUAAUUAGUAUUUUUGUUUUCUUAUGAGAUGAUAAAACAUGAAUAAUACUUUACUCGCGACUUAUGUUUUUAUUUUUUUUCAAAUAAAACGGACGGCCAAAGUUGAACGCAGAAAACCAUGUAUGUACUUAAA